CUAUGUAUAGUUUAAAAAAAACAUGAAUACACGAAAUUCAAUUUAUGAGUUAAAACCUCAUCACACAGA
rnacentral:tRNA from 1 species